rnacentral:tRNA from 1 species
GGGUUGUUAGCUCAGUGGUAAAGCAGCCGCCUCUUAAGCGGAAGACCGUGAGUUCGACUCUCACACAACCCA